GUCUUUUUGUGUUGGAUAUAAAGUAUAACCUGCCCAUUGAAAUUAUUUUAAAGGCUGCGGUAUAUUGACCGUACAAAGGUAGCAUAAUCAUUAGUUCUUUAAUUGAGAACUCGUAUGAAUGGUUGAAUGAGGAAUAAACUUUUUUAGAAAAAGAAUUGAAUUUUACAUUUUAAUUAAAAGGUUAAAAUGAAUUUAAAAGACGAGAAGACCCUAUAGAGUUUGAUAAUUUAUUGAAAUUUUUUAAAAAAAAUUAGUAAGCGUUUUAUUUUAAUAAAUUAUUUUAUUGGGGUGAUAGUAAAAUUUUAUAAACUUUUAUUUUUUUUUUACAUUAAUAUAUGAUUAAUUGAUCCAUUAUUAAUGAUUAAAAGUUUAAAUUACCUUAGGGAUAACAGCGUAAUUUUUUUUUUAAGUUCAUAUUAAUAAAAAAUUUUGCGACCUCGAUGUUGGAUUAAGAUUUAAUUUUAGGUGCAGAAGUUUAAAAUUAAAGUCUGUUCGACUUUUAAAUUCUU
rnacentral:rRNA from 1 species